rnacentral:rRNA from 1 species
CCUACGGGAGGCAGCAGUGAGGAAUAUUGGUCAAUGGCCGGAAGGCUGAACCAGCCAUGCCGCGUGAAGGUCAGUGCCCUAUGGGCGUUAAACUUCUUUUGUGCGGGAGCAAUAAUGGUCACGUGUGGCCAGACGAGAGUACCGUACGAAUAAGCAUCGGCUAACACCGUGCCAGCAGCCGCGGUAAUACGGGGGAUGCAAGCGUUAUCCGGAUUUAUUGGGUUUAAAGGGUGCGUGGGCUGGGAGGUAAGUCAGCGGUGAAAUGCCCCCGCUCAACGGGGUGAAGUGCCAUUGAUACUGCCUGGCUGGAAUGCGGAUGCCGUGGGAGGAAUGUGUGGUGUAGCGGUGAAAUGCAUAGAUAUCACACAGAACACCGAUUGCGAAGGCAUCUCACGAAUCCGCGAUUGACGCUGAUGCACGAAAGCGUGGGUAUCAAACAGGAUUAGAUACCCCAGUAGUC